CCUACGGGGGGCAGCAGUGAGGAAUAUUGGUCAAUGGACGAGAGUCUGAACCAGCCAAGUAGCGUGAAGGAUGACUGCCCUAUGGGUUGUAAACUUCUUUUAUAUGGGAAUAAAAUGUUCCACGUGUGGGAUUUUGUAUGUACCAUAUGAAUAAGGAUCGGCUAACUCCGUGCCAGCAGCCGCGGUAAUUCGGAGGAUCCGAGCGUUAUCCGGAUUUAUUGGGUUUAAAGGGAGCGUAGGUGGAUUGUUAAGUCAGUUGUGAAAGUUUGCGGCGCAACCGUAAGAUUGCAGUUGAAACUGGCAGUCUUGAGUACAGUAGAGGUGGGCGGAAUUGGUGGUGUAGCGGUGAAAUGCUUAGAUAUCACGAAGAACUCCGAUUGCGAAGGCAGUUCACUGGACUGCAACUGACACUGAGGCUCGAAAGUGUGGGUAUCAAACAGGAUUAGAUACCCCUGUAGUC
rnacentral:rRNA from 1 species